UGUGUGUGGAGUGUGGUGUGUGUGUGGUGUGUGUGUGUGUGUGUGUGUGUGUGUGUGAGAGAGAGAGUGUGUGUGAGUGACUGCAAGCACCGCUUAACAAAUGGCACAUCUACCUCCCUGCUGCAGUAUGCCUAGUGGGUGAGGGUGGGUCAAUGUGGAGAGAGACUACUGAUGAGUGAACAUUAGUUGAACACUGGGAGGUUACUGGAACCGUGCAGUUCUGCGUGUGUGCUGGAACAGUGAGGAGCAUGUUUUUAUGGAGCCAAAGCCUCCCCUCCCCAUCAAGACAAGAGUGCGUGAGGUACUGAAGACAGUAGGGUGGACGCACGGAAACCACACUGGAGGGACUCUGCACUCCCAGCACUAAUCAUUAAACAGAAUCGCCAUGGCAGCGUCAUUGCUCCGGUCUGGCGAGCAGAAUCUGAGGAGCGUGCUGACGGGACGGAAAAACACGUCAGGCAGGACUCGGCUGCGUGGGAGGAGGAGUCAGCUAGGCACUAAAAGAAUCCAAACUUUUCCUGGAACACUCUCAAUCCUUGUUCUCUGAAAACUUCCCCCGCCAUCUUCAAUUUCACAUUGUUCUGUAGUUUCAAGGGGGCUGAAUUUGAGAGUGGCCUGCUAGAAGAUAUGACCAAACCACACCACAGGAGCUAGAUACUGGCCGUGGCAUUGUUCUUUUUUUAAUCUCGGUUAGAGUAUUUCUUUUUUGUGAGUGUUAAAACCAUGUGAAAGAUGAAAAUGUAGAAAUAAAUAAUUUUUAUAAA